rnacentral:rRNA from 1 species
ACGAACGCUGGCGGCGUGCCUAAAACAUGCAAGUCGAACGAGGCAGCAAUGCCUAGUGGCGAACGGCGGAGUAAGACGUAAGCAACGUGCCCUGGAGACUGGGAUAUACGGUCGAAAGACCGGGCAAUACCGGAUACGGCCGGAGAGAGGCAUCUCUUUCCGAUUAAAUGGUUUUUCGCUUCAGGAGCGGCUUACGGCCUAUCAGCUAGUUGGUGGGGGUAACGGCCUACCAAGGCUACGACGGGUAGGGGGUCUGAGAGGAUGAUCCCCUCGAGUGGGACUGAGACACGGCCCACACACCUACGGGUGGCAGCAGUUGGGAAUCUUGCACAAUGGGGGCAACCCUGAUGCAGCGACGCCGCGUGGAGGAUGAAGGAUUUAGGUCUGUAAACUCCUUUUACCGGGAAAGACUUAGGACGGUACCCCGGUGAAUAAGACUCGGCUAACCUAGUGCCAACAGCCGCGGUAAUACGUAGGGAGUCCGAGCGUUGUCCGGAUUUACUGGGCGUAAAGGGCGUCCGUAGGCGGUCUCAUUUAAGUCGUCGAAGUGAAAUCUCCAGUGCUUAACUUGGAAACGGCUUGAGGAACUGAUGCAGAUGGAGGACGGCAGAGGCGAGUGGAAUUCCUUGGUGUAGGGGUGACAUGCCGUUGAUAUCAGGAGGAACACCAGUGGCGAAGGCAGCUCACUGGGCCUUUACUGACAGCUGAGGGCGAAAGCGUGGGUAGCGAACAGGAAUUAGAUACUCCUGGUAGUCCACGCCCUAAACGAUGAGUGCUAGGGUAUUCGGGGCUAUAGACCCCCCUGGUAGCGGAGCUAACGCAUUAAGCACUCCGCCUGGGAGCUGCGAGCGCAAGGCUUGAAACUCAAAUGAAUUGACGGGGGACCCGCACAAGCGGUGGAGCAUGUGGAUUUAAUUCGACUCUAAGCGAAGAACCUUACCCAGGGCUUGACAUCCAGGUCGUAAGGCCUGUGGAAACACAGGAGCCCUUUGCCAAUGGAACACGAAUGACAUGUGCUGCAUGGCUAUCGUCAGCUCCGUGUCGUGAGGAUGUUGGUUAAGUCCAGCAACGAGCGCAACCCUCGUCGUAUGUUGCUAGGGUUCAUGACGAGAACGUAGGACCGCGGUUAACGAGGAGGAAGGCGGGGAUGACGUCAAGAUCAGCAUGGCGCUUAUGCCCUGGGCUACACACCUGCUACAAUGGGCUGCACAAAGGGACAGCGAUACCGCGAGGUGGAGCUAAUCCCACAAAUCCAGUCCUCAGUUCAGGACUAGGAGUCUGCAACUCGCCUCCAUGAAGGCGGAAUCGCUAGUAAAUCGCAGGUCAGCCUAUACUGCGGUGAAUACGUUCCUCGGGUCCUUGUACACACCGCCCGUCAAGUCACCGAAAUGUCUGAAUGCCCGAAGUCCGUGGCCACCUGUAAAGGGCAGUAGGCACGGCAGGCUGCGGGGGAUCAGGGGACU